GACGAACGCUGGCGGCGUGCUUAACACAUGCAAGUCUAACGGACAGACAGAGAGCUUGCUCUCUUGAAGUUAGUGGCGAACGGGUGAGUAACGCGUAAUCAACCUGCCCUUCAGAGGGGGAUAACAACGGGAAACCGUUGCUAAUACCGCGUACGAUUCAUGAACGGCAUCGUUUAUGAAUGAAAGGUGGCCUCUAUGUAUAAGCUAUCGCUGAAGGAGGGGAUUGCGUCUGAUUAGCUAGUUGGAGGGGUAACGGCCCACCAAGGCAAUGAUCAGUAGCCGGUCUGAGAGGAUGGACGGCCACAUUGGGACUGAGGAACGGCCCAAACUCCUACGGGAGGCAGCAGUGGGGAAUCUUCCGCAAUGGACGAAAGUCUGACGGAGCAACGCCGCGUAAGUGAUGAAGGUCUUCGGAUUGUAAAGCUCUGUUAAUCGGGACGAAAGAGUUCUGCGUGAAUAAUGCAGAAAAGUGACGGUACCGGAAUAGAAAGCCACGGCUAACUACGUGCCAGCAGCCGCAGUAA
rnacentral:rRNA from 1 species